CUCCAGAGUGGAUCCUGAGUACGGCGGAACACGUGAAAUUCCGUCGGAAUCCGGGAGGACCAUCUCCCAAGGCUAAAUACUCCCUAGUGACCGAUAGUGAACCAGUACCGUGAGGGAAAGGUGAAAAGCACCCCGGAAGGGGAGUGAAACAGUUCCUGAAACCGUGUGCCUACAAGUAGUUAGAGCCCGUUAAUGGGUGAUAGCGUGCCUUUUGUAGAAUGAACCGGCGAGUUACGAUUUGUUGCAAGGUUAAGCGGAAAAAGCGGAGCCGUAGCGAAAGCGAGUCUGAAUAGGGCGCAUAAGUAACAGGUCGUAGACCCGAAACCAGGUGAUCUACCCAUGUCCAGGAUGAAGGUAAGGUAAUACUUACUGGAGGUCCGAACCCACGCACGUUGAAAAGUGCGGGGAUGAGGUGUGGGUAGCGGAGAAAUUCCAAUCGAACUUGGAGAUAGCUGGUUCUCUCCGAAAUAGCUUUAGGGCUAGCCUCGAGGUAAAGAGUCAUGGAGGUAGAGCACUGUUUGGACUAGGGGCCCUUCUCGGGUUACCGAAUUCAGAUAAACUCCGAAUGCCAUGUACUUAUACUCGGGAGUCAGACUGCGAGUGAUAAGAUCCGUAGUCGAAAGGGAAACAGCCCAGACCACCAGUUAAGGUCCCCAAAUAUAUGUUAAGUGGAAAAGGAUGUGGGGUUGCUUAGACAACCAGGAUGUUGGCUUAGAAGCAGCCACCAUUGAAAGAGUGCGUAAUAGCUCACUGGUCGAGUGACCCCGCGCCGAAAAUGUACCGGGGCUAAACAUAUUACCGAAACUGUGGAUGAACCUCUUCGGAGGUUCGUGGUAGGAGAGCGUUCUAAGGGCGGUGAAGUCAGACCGGAAGGACUGGUGGAGCGCUUAGAAGUGAGAAUGCCGGUAUGAGUAGCGAAAGAAGGGUGAGAAUCCCUUCCACCGAAUAUCUAAGGUUUCCUGAGGAAGGCUCGUCCGCUCAGGGUUAGUCGGGACCUAAGCCGAGGCCGAUAGGCGUAGGCGAUGGACAACAGGUAGAGAUUCCUGUACCAGUGCUAAUUGUUUAACCGAUGGGGUGACACAGAAGGAUAGGGAAUCGCACGAAUGGAAAUGUGCGUCCAAGCAGUGAGUGUGAGAAGUAGGCAAAUCCGCUUCUCGCGAAGCAUGAGCUGUGAUGGGGAAGGAAAUAAAGUACGGAAGUUCCUGAUUUCACGCUGUCAAGAAAAGCCUCUAGGAAGAGUAGUACUGCCCGUACCGCAAACCGACACAGGUAGAUGAGGAGAGAAUCCUAAGGUGAGCGAGAGAACUCUCGUUAAGGAACUCGGCAAAAUGACCCCGUAACUUCGGGAGAAGGGGUGCUCUAUUAGGGUGCAAGCCCGAGAGAGCCGCAGUGAAUAGGCCCAGGCGACUGUUUAGCAAAAACACAGGUCUCUGCAAAACCGUAAGGUGACGUAUAGGGGCUGACGCCUGCCCGGUGCUGGAAGGUUAAGAGGAGUGCUUAGCUUCGGCGAAGGUACGAAUUGAAGCCCCAGUAAACGGCGGCCGUAACUAUAACGGUCCUAAGGUAGCGAAAUUCCUUGUCGGGUAAGUUCCGACCCGCACGAAAGGCGCAACGAUCUGGGCACUGUCUCAACGAGAGACUCGGUGAAAUUAUAGUACCUGUGAAGAUGCAGGUUACCCGCGACAGGACGGAAAGACCCCGUGGAGCUUUACUGCAACCUGAUAUGGAAUGUUUGUACCGCUUGUACAGGAUAGGUAGGAGCCGAAGAGACGUGUGCGCUAGCAUACGAGGAGGCAAUGGUGGGAUACUACCCUGGCUGUAUGACCAUUCUAACCCGCCACGCUUAGCGCGUGGGGAGACAGUGUCAGGUGGGCAGUUUGACUGGGGCGGUCGCCUCCUAAAGAGUAACGGAGGCGCCCAAAGGUUCCCUCAGAAUGGAUGGAAAUCAUUCGCAGAGUGUAAAGGCACAAGGGAGCUUGACUGCGAGACUGACAAGUCGAGCAGGGACGAAAGUCGGGCUUAGUGAUCCGGUGGUUCCGCAUGGAAGGGCCAUCGCUCAACGGAUAAAAGCUACCCCGGGGAUAACAGGCUUAUCUCCCCCAAGAGUCCACAUCGACGGGGAGGUUUGGCACCUCGAUGUCGGCUCGUCGCAUCCUGGGGCUGUAGUCGGUCCCAAGGGUUGGGCUGUUCGCCCAUUAAAGCGGCACGCGAGCUGGGUUCAGAACGUCGUGAGACAGUUCGGUCCCUAUCCGUCGCGGGCGCAGGAAAUUUGAGAGGAGCUGUCCUUAGUACGAGAGGACCGGGAUGGACACACCGCUGGUGUACCAGUUGUUCCGCCAGGAGCAUCGCUGGGUAGCUAUGUGUGGCAGGGAUAAACGCUGAAAGCAUCUAAGCGUGAAGCCCCCCUCAAGAUGAGAUUUCCCAUUUCUUCGGAAAGUAAGAUCCCUGAAAGAUGAUCAGGUAGAUAGGUUUGGAGUGGAAGUGUAGCGAUACAUGGAGCGGACAAAUACUAAUCGAUCGAGGACUUAACCAAAA
rnacentral:rRNA from 1 species